rnacentral:lncRNA from 1 species
CGUGACUAUCUGGUUUGUGAGUGAUGCAACCUGAGCUGCUAGUGCGGUGAUGGGAUCCACUUCAUGAAGUCCUGCUACUUUCUUUACACCCGAUCUCUCACUUGGCCAUUGGUAACUGUUAGUGGCUAUGUCAUCCAAUAAAGCAUAUGCAGCCUCUGCUGUUUUAGCCAUUAAAAUGCCUCCUGCAGCUGCAUCUACCAUAGUCCUUGUCUGCCCAUUUAGCCCAUUAUAAAAUAUCUCAAUUUGCACCCAUUUCUGGAACCCAUGUUGAGGACAUCUCC